rnacentral:rRNA from 1 species
UUCCCCCCCGUAACUUCGGGAGAAGGUGCACCGCUUUUGGUGAUGGGAUUUACUCCCUAAGCUGAGGGCGGUCGAAGAUACCAGGCCCCUGCAACUGUUUAUUAAAAACACAGCACUCUGCAAACACGUAAGUGGACGUAUAGGGUGUGACGCCUGCCCGGUGCCGGAAGGUUAAUUGAUGGGGUUAGCGCAAGCGAAGCUCUUGAUCGAAGCCCCGGUAAACGGCGGCCGUAACGAUAACGGUCCUAAGGUAGCGAAAUUCCUUGUCGGGUAAGUUCCGACCUGCACGAAUGGCGUAAUGAUGGGGGCGCUGUCUCCACCCGAGACUCAGUGAAAUUGAAAUCGCGGUUAAGAUGCCGUGUACCCGCGGCUAGACGGAAAGACCCCGUGGACCUUUACUAUAGCUUUGCACUGAACUUUGAACCUAUCUGUGUAGGAUAGGUGGGAGGCUUUGAAGUCGAGACGCUAGUUUCGAUGGAGCCGUCCUUGAAAUACCACCCUGGUAUGUUUGAGGUUCUAACGUCGGCCCCUUAUCGGGGUUACGGACAGUGUAUGGUGGGUAGUUUGACUGGGGCGGUCUCCUCCCAAAGAGUAACGGAGGAGCACGAAGGUGUGCUAAUCAUGGUCGGAAAUCAUGAGGUUAGUGUAAAGGCAAAAGCACGCUUGACUGCGAGACAGACAUGUCGAGCAGGUACGAAAGUAGGUCUUAGUGAUCCGGUGGUUCUGUAUGGAAGGGCCAUCGCUCAACGGAUAAAAGGUACUCCGGGGAUAACAGGCUGAUACCGCCCAAGAGUUCACAUCGACGGCGGUGUUUGGCACCUCGAUGUCGGCUCAUCACAUCCUGGGGCUGAAGCCGGUCCCAAGGGUAUGGCUGUUCGCCAUUUAAAGUGGUACGCGAGCUGGGUUUAGAACGUCGUGAGACAGUUCGGUCCCUAUCUGCCGUGGGCGUUGGAGAUUUGAGAAGAGUUGUUCCUAGUACGAGAGGACCGGAAUGAACGAACCUCUGGUGUUCGGGUUGUCAUGCCAAUGGCAUUGCCCGGUAGCUACGUUCGGACGGGAUAACCGCUGAAAGCAUCUAAGCGGGAAGCCUCCUUCAAGAUGAGAUCUCCCUGGGACUUUAAGUCCCCUAAAGAGCCGUUGAAGACUACGACGUUGAUAGGUUGGGUGUGGAAGCGCAGCGAUGCGUUGAGCUAACCAAUACUAAUUGCUCGUGCGGCUUGACU